rnacentral:rRNA from 1 species
AACGAACGCUGGCGGCAUGCCUAACACAUGCAAGUCGAACGAGAUCUUCGGGUCUAGUGGCGCACGGGUGCGUAACGCGUGGGAAUCUGCCCUUUGGUUCGGAAUAACAGUUGGAAACGACUGCUAAUACCGGAUGAUGACGAAAGUCCAGAGAUUUAUCGCCAGAGGAUGAGCCCGCGUAGGAUUAGCUAGUUGGUGUGGUAAAGGCGCACCAAGGCGACGAUCCUUAGCUGGUCUGAGAGGAUGAUCAGCCACACUGGGACUGAGACACGGCCAAGACUCCUAGGGGAGGCAGCAGUGGGGAAUAUUGAAAAAGGGGCGAAAGCCGGAUCCAGCAAUGCCGCGUGGGUGAGGAAGGCCUGAGGGUUGUAAAGCUCUUUUACCCGGGAUGAAAAGGACAGUACCGGGAGAAUAAGCUCCGGCUAACUCCGUGCCAGCAGCCGCCGUAA